rnacentral:rRNA from 1 species
UACGUAGGGUGCAAGCGUUGUUCGGAAUUACUGGGCGUAAAGCGCGUGUAGGCGGCUCUGCAAGUCGGAUGUGAAAGCCCUGGGCUCAACCUAGGAAGUGCACUCGAAACUGCAGAGCUGGAGUCCUGGAGAGGAAGGCGGAAUUCUCGGUGUAGAGGUGAAAUUCGUAGAUAUCGAGAGGAACACCGGUGGCGAAGGCGGCCUUCUGGAUAGUGACUGACGCUGAGACGCGAAAGCGUGGGGAGCAAACAGG